rnacentral:rRNA from 1 species
UGCCCACUGAUUAAAAAUUAAAGGGCUGCAGUAUUUUGACUGUACAAAGGUAGCAUAAUCAUUAGUCAUUUAAUUGAUGACUUGUAUGAAAGAUUGAAUGAAAUAUAGACUGUCUUUAAAUUAAAUAUAGAAUUUAAUUUUUAAGUUAAAAAGCUUAAAUAAUUUAAAAAGACGAGAAGACCCUAUAGAGUUUUAUUUUUUAUAAUAAUUAAAAUUUUUAUAAUGGGUUUAUUAUGUUAGUUAUUAUAAAAAAUUUUAUUGGGGUGAUAAAAAAAUUUAAUUAACUUUUUUUUUUAGUUUAACAUAAAUAAAUGAUUGUUUGAUCCAUAUUUUAUGAUUAUAAGAAAAAAUUACCUUAGGGAUAACAGCGUAAUUUUAUUUUUUAGUUCAAAUAAGAAAUAAAGUUUGCGACCUCGAUGUUGGAUUAAGAUGAAAUUUAAAUGCAGAAGUUUAAAAUUUUUGA